GACGAACGCUGGCGGCGUGCUUAACACAUGCAAGUCGAACGGUAAGGCCCUUCGGGGUACACGAGUGGCGAACGGGUGAGUAACACGUGGGUGAUCUGCCCUGCACUUCGGGAUAAGCUUGGGAAACUGGGUCUAAUACCGGAUAGGACCACGGUCUGCAUGGAUUGUGGUGGAAAGCUUUUGCGGUGUGGGAUGGGCCCGCGGCCUAUCAGCUUGUUGGUGGGGUGAUGGCCUACCAAGGCGACGACGGGUAGCCGGCCUGAGAGGGUGUCCGGCCACACUGGGACUGAGAUACGGCCCAGACUCCUACGGGAGGCAGCAGUGGGGAAUAUUGCACAAUGGGCGCAAGCCUGAUGCAGCGACGCCGCGUGGGGGAUGACGGCCUUCGGUUGUAAACCGUCUUUCAGCAGGGACGAAGGGUGACUGACGGUACCUGUAGAAGAAGCACCGGCCAACUACGUGCCAGCAGCCGCGGUAAAGUGUGUGUA
rnacentral:rRNA from 1 species